CUGAGCUCAUGCCUGCGGGGUAGAUCUCCCACCCGUGACAUCUCACACCUGUGUUGCUUUGGCGGGCCGCGAGCCCCUCGCUGCCGGGAGGCAGGUGCCCGCCAGAGGCCCAAAUCCAGUGCUCAGUAUGUCGUCUGAGUAACCAAUACAAAUAGUUAAA
rnacentral:rRNA from 1 species